AGAGUUUGAUCAUGGCUCAGGACGAACGCUGGCGGCGUGCUUAACACAUGCAAGUCGAGCGGAAAGGCCCUUCGGGGUACUCGAGCGGCGAACGGGUGAGUAACACGUGAGCAAUCUGCCCCUAGCAUCGGGAUAGCUCCGGGAAACCGGAAUUAAUACCGAAUACGACUACGGCUGACAUCGGCCGUGGUGGAAAGCUUUUGCGGCUAGGGAUGAGCUCGCGGCCUAUCAGCUUGUUGGUGGGGUAACGGCCUACCAAGGCGACGACGGGUAGCCGGCCUGAGAGGGCGACCGGCCACACUGGGACUGAGACACGGCCCAGACUCCUACGGGAGGCAGCAGUGGGGAAUCUUGCGCAAUGGGCGAAAGCCUGACGCAGCGACGCCGCGUGCGGGAUGAAGGCCUUCGGGUUGUAAACCGCUUUCAGCAGGGACGAAAACGACGGUACCUGCAGAAGAAGCGCCGGCUAACUACGUGCCAGCAGCCGCGGUAACACGUAGGGCGCAAGCGUUGUCCGGAAUUAUUGGGCGUAAAGAGCUCGUAGGUGGUCCGCUACGUCCGCUGUGAAAAUCCAGGGCUUAACCCUGGACUUGCAGUGGAUACGGGCGAACUAGAGGUAGGUAGGGGAGAAUGGAAUUCCCGGUGUAGCGGUGAAAUGCGCAGAUAUCGGGAGGAACACCGGUGGCGAAGGCGGUUCUCUGGGCCUUACCUGACACUGAGGAGCGAAAGCGUGGGGAGCGAACAGGAUUAGAUACCCUCGUAGUCC
rnacentral:rRNA from 1 species